rnacentral:rRNA from 1 species
AUGAACGCUGGCGGCGUGCCUAAUACAUGCAAGUCGAGCGAACGGACGAGAAGCUUGCUUCUCUGAUGUUAGCGGCGGACGGGGGAGUAACACGUGGAUAACCUACCUAUAAGACUGGGAUAACUUCGGGAAACCGGAGCUAAUACCGGAUAAUAUUUUGCACCGCAUGGUUCAAAAGUGAAAGACGGUCUUGCUGUCACUUAUAGAUGGAUCCGCGCUGCAUUAGCUAGUUGGUAAGGUAACGGCUUACCAAGGCAACGAUGCAUAGCCGACCUGAGAGGGUGAUCGGCCACACUGGAACUGAGACACGGUCCAGACUCCUACGGGAGGCAGCAGUAGGGAAUCUUCCGCAAUGGGCGAAAGCCUGACGGAGCAACGCCGCGUGAGUGAUGAAGGUCUUCGGAUCGUAAAACUCUGUUAUUAGGGAAGAACAUAUGUGUAAGUAACUGUGCACAUCUUGACGGUACCUAAUCAGAAAGCCACGGCUAACUACGUG